AGAAAACCCACAAAGUCUUUGAGCUGUGAUUUAUGUUCCGGGCUUUGUGGGGGAGCCUCGAUUCGCACAGGUAGAGGGAAGCAGCAACCCAGCAGGUCCCUCGAGGUGAGGCGGUGAUGUGGGGACCCAGGGAUGGGAUUUUGGGAAGGCUGGAGGAGGACCAGCACCACCGAGUUCGCCCUGAGGACCCAUCACAGCCCCUUGUGCACCAAAACCCCAGCGGUAAAUCCUCGCGUGGCCCCCGGAGCUGCCCACAAAGGAGCUGCACUGAACGAGAGGUGAAGAUUUCUGCGUAUUUGCAUAUUUGAACAGCAGAGCUGGUAUCAAUCGAGGUUGUAGGUUGCCAGACUGUUUGUUUGCUCAGGGAGCUAGCCUAAUCCUCCCUGAGCCCAUCGGGUGCAGCUCCCAGCACUGUCCUGCCAGGGCACGCUCCCAUUCCCCAGGGGACCGGGUGUGGGGGAUUUUCCUCCGCACCGCCAAGCCCCUUCUGGGCUUCUCAGAGCCCCACUGCAGGAGGGGGGCACGGUGAUAAAAUCUGAAGGCAACUCUUACCGAUUUAUCCACACCCUGGUGGCGUCUGGGGGGGAUAGUGCAGUGAGCAGGGAGACCCCAAAAUCAGCAUGAAAAACAGAGGGGCGGUGGGUUGUGUGGGGGGAAAGGGCGUGAAGAAGAGACCGAGCUCGCGCAGGGGUAGCAAAGCCCACAGUUAAACCAACCACACGCUGCCAGCUCGUGCUAGCGCCAGUCUAACUCUGCAGAAACUGAGCCAAAAGGGAUCAAGUUAUCCCCAGCAGCUGCGUUACCUGGAUAAAGAAGACUUUAGGUCUUUCGGCGAGCACCGGGCAAUUCUGCGGUGACAAAAUUCGGAAGAUCCGGGUCAGCUGAAGCGGCUUGCAGUCAGAGCCAAAUACGGCCCCCUCCUCCCCGUGGCUGGAGAUGAUGCUCACAAAGAAUUCCCCGUGCUCGCGGCUGCACUCUGCGGGGGCACAGCCGAACCUCAGCCCCGCCAGCCGUGGCCCAAUUUGGGGCUGCAGGGUGCUGGGCACUCCGCUGCCUACCCAAAUCUGAGCCCCAUGGUGGGGUGACCCUAAAGGGCCUGGGUCUGGCUCUGGGGAGAGUCCCCAGCUGCCGCUGAGCAGCGACUCGGGCUGUCACAGGGUGCUCAGACCAAGCUGGGUAGAGGCAGAGGUGGGAACUGGGAGCUGGCUGGGCUCUGGGGAGCGUGGUGGUGCUGCGGGGGCGCGUACCUUGCUGGUAAAGGUCUUCCAUCUCUUUG